rnacentral:lncRNA from 1 species
ACACCUCCAGGAUUCAGGCCUGGAUGAGGUAAUAGCAGGCCAGAAGAAGAAGGCGUGGGGCUGAGCGUGCGUGUGUUCGUCAGUGUGUGUAUGUCAGUGCGAGCAAAAGCCCUGGUGAGACUCAAGUGUAGGAGCUCUGGCCGCGGAUACAGCCAGCGCUGAGCUGAAAACAGACAGGAAGUUAGUGGCUGCAAACCUCAGUCCCCGCGUUGGCCCCUGGGACCGGGAUGGCAAGCGAGCUUUUGGACACCCGGGGACCCGGGAAGUAUCCGCGGGCGUGAGCUCACCUUGGCGUUCUUCCGGGGAGGGGAGACACCUGGAAGCCUCUGAGCGGAGCCCCAGGGAGGGAGCUGUGCCACCGCCGUUGCCUGGCUCCCAGCGGAGAGAGGACGGAGGGCGUGACCAUGCAACUCCAGCGAGGCUCAACUGGUGCGAGGCGGGUGCUGCGUCGCGCUUGGGCCGUGCGCCCUGGGUGGCUUUGCAAGGCGGGCGGCGAAUGUGCAGGGUCAGGUUUUUUGCAUGAAGCCGCUGGACCCCUCGGAGCAGCGGCAGCGACAGGGGCGGUGGAGCACAGUUGGAGGCGGGCAGCUACGGGUCCGCGUCCCGGUGCCUAAGCGACUGCAGACUCCCCCAUGAACCACAGCUGAGGCUUCCCGGGAGGCGGUGGCGCCCGAGGCCGGGUGUGCAAGGACGGGGAAGGGAGCAUCUCAGGGCACUUCAUGCUCCAGACCUCAGCCUUGGACCCUAGUGGUGUAGGAAUGGCUGACCGAUCAUGGCGGCUGGUGUCCCUACAGCCCUGCUGUGAAACACCACUUCAAGGCGGUGCUGCGCUGGUCCACGCGCGGGGCCAGCGUGGUGUUGGGCUAGGUGGAGAGACAGAUUGCCCCCUACAUCAUCGACCUGCAGUCCAUGAACCAGUUCCGCCAAGACACGGGUGAGCCAUCCAAAUCCCUGGUCUGUCCACUGACUCACCCAGUGACUAGCUUUGCUUACUGAUGUCCUCACGUGAUAGGUGUUGAGGGCAGGUGUUUCCCUUCCUUAGAUCCUCACAGGAUUCCAAGACCACCUUCAAGUAUUUGUCCUGGCAAGUAGUUUAAAUUGUCUUGAUUAUACAAACCCAGCUUCGGCCUAGCUGCAGGAGACCCCUUUAUGCCCCCAUCGCCACCCCCAGCCCCUACUGGCCCUUAGUGCAGGAAUUCUAGGACUUUGCAGUUCCCAAGGAAUGCGGGGUCUUCAGCAAGAUACUGCUGGAGCCCUUUUACUGCUCACACCUCAGCUGACUUUGCUUUGCCUCAAGCACCUUUGGGGCUGCCGUACACCUCCCCCUCCCUUCAACCUGGCUGAAUCUGGCCCUCUUCUAUGGACCCCCCCUUCCCACUGACAACUCCUGGAUGUAAGAUUUGGGAAGCCGUAGGGUUCCUCAGUGUCUAGUUACAGUCUAGUGUGUGAAAAGUGCUGGAAAAUUACUGGGAAGAGAGAUUGGAGCCAGGGAUUCCAGAGCUGGAGCAUCUGGAUGUGGUGGAGAGAAGAACCGGAGGACUGGGCUCCGGAAUGCCUGGCAGAGAGGCUCCUCCCUUUGUCCACAGAGGACAGGACAGAGUGAACAUUCUGCAACAUUCUCCAACAGCCUGCAGAGUGGAGAAUGUCUUUGCCAGCUAUGCCUCAGACAGGGGCUGGGCGUCUAGAAUAUAUAAAGAACUGCAGUAAUUAAACUUCAAAAUAGCUAGUCAAUAAAUCAGCCAAUGAAUGGAAGAUACCGUUCGCAAAAGUAGGACCACAUAUGGACACCAGAGAUUAAAAAGGCGUUCAGCAUUCUUAGUUACCAGCUGAGUGAAAAUUGAAGCUACGUUUUGGAUUCCAUCUUCCCCUAGUGACAAUUACUAAGAUAAAGAAAAGAGACAGCAGUGCUGUUGAGGUAAUGUAACCUAGUACAGCCAUUAUAUAAAUUAGUAUACAUUUCUAAAAAUUAAAAAAACAGAACUUCCCUAUGAUCCAGAUAUACUUCUGAGUGUGUGAGUGUGUGUAUGUGUGUGUGUGUGAGUGUGUGUGUGUGUGUGUGUGUGUAUUCUACCACAGAGAUACCUGCACAUCCACAUUUAUUGGUUUUCUAUUCAAAAUAGCAAAGAAAUGGAACCAGCCCAAAUGGAGCCAACAGAUGAAUGGAUAAGGAAAACGUGGCACAUAUAUAAAUGGUAUUUAUUCAGCUGUAAAGAAAAAUGAAAUCACAUAACUUACAGAAAAAUGAAUGAAUAUGGGAAUUAGAAAAAAAAACCCUCCAGAUUUAGACAGACAGCACAUCUCUCACAUGUGGAGCCUAGCCUAUAAAGUCUGUCUGUCUGUCUGUCUGUCUGUCUGUCUGUCGUAUGUAAGUUGGGGUGAAUUCCUUGACUGUAGGCUCUGGAAUCAGAAAAGAGUGCACAAAGAGGGAAAGAAAGUGUUGCAGAAGUAGAGGAAGGGCACAGGGAGGUGAAUGUGGAGAUGGAGGAUGUGUGUAAGGUACAGUGGGGAGGGGGUGAGGGUAUGGGGGGUGAGAAAGGUGAGGUGAUUCAACAAAAUAAAUUUUGUCUGAAACUGGCACAAUAAAACCUAAUUCUGUGUGUUAAUUAUUAAUGAAAAAUAAACUAUUUACAAAAUAAAACUAUGAAGACUGAGAAGUAUGUACAAAGAUGCCUCUUAUGUUGUUCUUUUAAAAUAACAGUAAGAUUUUGGGGUGUCCUAAAUUUCCAAAACAGAAAAAUAGUUAAAUAAAUCACAAAUUUCUGUGUCAUAA